rnacentral:lncRNA from 1 species
UUUUGUGUGAUUGAUUGUAAUAUGAAAUUCAUUUUUCGAGUGUUGGAUAAAUUUGAUUAUUUGGAACAUUCGUUUACUAUACUACUUAGACUAUAUUGAAUAUAAGAUACGCAAUAUGCUAACCAAGUAAAUGUGAUUUCAAGUGUUUAAUAUUGGAAAACAAUUUAUAUAUUGUAUUUGGGUUUAUAGGUUUCUGUCUAAGGUUUAGAUUUACUAAGUAAAGGUUUGGGUAUAGUAAACCAUAUUAUAUAUGUUCUAUUUGGGUUUAUGCUUCCUUGAUUAGGGUUUAGCUUAAUCUAUUUAUUUAGGUUUAGGGUUUAGUAAUUAGGAUUUAGAGUUUGGAGUUUAGUAUUUAGUAUAGUUUAAUAUUACAUAAUAUUAUGCACUAUUUUAAGAUUUUAAUAUUUGGGUUAGGGUUCAAAUUUGGGUUCACGGUUUAAAUUUGGAUUUAGGGUUUAGUGAUUCUGGGUUUAGGGUUUAGUAAUUGGAAGGUGGGGGUUGAGGUUGGGGUCAACAUAACUUCUUACAUGCAAGCAUAUACAAUUCAUAAUUUCACCAAUAUGUACUAUACUAUUGAUUUUGUUCCAUUUUAUCUGAGUUUAGGGUUUAUAUUUGUAUUUGAAAUUUAUAUUUAGGUUUAGAAUUUAGUGAUUAGGGUUUAGGGUUUAGUAUUUGGAAAGUGGGGGUUGAUAUUGGGGCCAUCAUUAAUUUCUUACAUGCAAGUUUAGACAUUUCAUAAUUUCGUAAAUAUGUACUAUACUAUUUAUUUUAUUUCAUUCUAUUUAGGUUUAGAGUUUAUAUUUGGAUUUAGGAUUUAUAUUUUGGUUUUAGCUUUAGUGAAUAGGGUCUACCAUUUAGUAUUUAGGGUUAGGGUUUAAAUUUGGGUUUAGGGUUUACUGAUUUUGGGUUUAUGGUUUAGUAAUUGGAAGGUGGGGGUUGAGGUUGGGGUCAACAUAACUUCUUUCAUGCAAGCAUAUAUAUUUCAUAAUUUCACCAAUAUGUAUUAUACUAUUGAUUUGGUUCUAUUCUAUCUGAGUUUAUGGUUUAUAUUUGUAUUUAAGAUUUAUAUUUGGGUUUUGGAUUUAGUGAUUAGGGUUUAGGGUUUAGUAUUUAGUAUUUGGAAUGUGGGAGUUGAAAUUGGGGCCAUCAUUAACUUCUUACAUACAAUCCUAAACAUUUCAUAAUUUCGUAAAUAUGUACUAUAGUACUAUUUACUUUAUUUCAUUAUGUUUGGGUUUAGAGUUUAUAUUUGGAUUUAGAAUUUAUAUUUUAAUUUUGGCUUUAGUGAAUAACAUUUAGGAUUUAGUAUUUAGGGGUUGUGGAUGUGAUUGUGAUAGGCUUUAAUAUCUAGAGUAGAGAUGGAAUUGGUGUUCUAUAUUAUUUUGUUAAUAUGAAGUAAAUUGAAUACCAUUUAUUGCAGGAGUGUUUUAUUUUUGUCCACUUAUUUAUUGAACACAGUGAAAGUGAAACGUAUGCGGUUAUUUAAUACGUAACGUGGAAUGUGUAUCUUCCCUUUUAAGAUAAUAGUUCGUGGUAAAUAAUGGUCAUACAUGUUGUUCUCAAUAUCAUCUCACCAUCUCUCCUUUACCGGUUACAUGUAAGUCCAAGGGGUAAAAC